UCUAAUUUACAUGAUGAUGACUUGCUACAUGGAUAACCGUGGUCAUUCUAGAGCUAAUACAUGCAAAGGGCCCGCGAGGGUGGCAUUUAUUAGAUGGAACCAGCGAAAGAUGGUGAAUCAUGAUAACUGAGCGGAUCGCAUGGCCUCGAGCUGGCGACGCUUCAUUCAAAUUUCUGCCCUAUCAACUUUGGAUGGUAGGAUAGAGGCCUACCAUGGUGGUGACGGGUGACGGGGAAUUGGGGUUCGAUUCCGGAGAGGGAGCCUGAGAGAUGGCUACCACUUCCAAGGAAGGCAGCAGGCGCGCAAAUUACCCAAUCCCGACACGGGGAGGUAGUGACAGUAAAU
rnacentral:rRNA from 1 species